rnacentral:tRNA from 1 species
GGCAGGGUGGCGCUUAAUGGAAGAGCCAGUCCUGGGAGUCAGAGGACCUGGGUUCUAAUCCCAGCUCUGCCA